UCCAACACUGCUUCACAUAGGUUACGAGGGUUUUGACAAAAUCGCCUAUGGUCAUCCUUUGUGACGGUACUUGCGACUGGUUUCCUCAACCGUCACAACAAUUUAAAGAAAUCUCAAGGACGCGGAUAAUCAUUUUCAAAAGCCCCGCUUUCUAAUUUUUACAAGUCCCGCAAACUGUAACCCCCAAAUUCAGUCGAACGCAAACUCCCCAACAUUUUGAAAAUAAUCCUAAAUCUCUCAGUGCUCAAUCUCUGAAACAAGAAAAAAGCAACUAUCGUGCCCUACAACGAGUCGAACGACGCUGCUUCCCCUCUCUCUAGCGACGACGCAACACAACACUUCUUCAGCGACGUCGUAUAACGCACAUUCGUUUGAAUGAUGUUGUUGUGAAUAGCUCAAUGGUUGUGCCUAUGGAAACAUAUCAAUGUUCUCUCUCUCUCUCUUUUUUUUUUUGUUAUCUUAUUCCUAAAUGUCUUGGAAUGACAUAAUGCUUUUAUGACUUAUGUCUUAAUGAAAUCUUUGCCAUAUUUUCUAAA